rnacentral:misc_RNA from 1 species
ACACCUCAACUCUUGUGGUUCGCCAUGAAGAGCUUGGACUUGGGGGCUUGCUGGCGCACAGCCGGCUCCUCUCAAAUGAAUUAGCCUGCCAGUGUUUGGUGGCGUCACGGGUGUGAUAACUAUUUACGCUUGUGGUUGCCUGCCAGGUAACCUUUGGUGACGGAGGUUCGCUGGAGCUUAUAAACGUCUUUCCUUGGUGAAGACAGCUUUUUGAAC